AGUGAACGCUGGCGGUAGGCCUAACACAUGCAAGUCGAACGGCAGCACAGUAAGAGCUUGCUCUUACGGGUGGCGAGUGGCGGACGGGUGAGGAAUACAUCGGAAUCUACUUUUUCGUGGGGGAUAACGGAGGGAAACUUACGCUAAUACCGCAUACGACCUACGGGUGAAAGCAGGGGAUCUUCGGACCUUGCGCGAUUGAAUGAGCCGAUGUCGGAUUAGCUAGUUGGCGGGGUAAAGGCCCACCAAGGCGACGAUCCGUAGCUGAUCUGAGAGGAUGAUCGGCCACACUGGAACUGAGACACGGUCCAGACUCCUACGGGAGGCAGCAGUGGGGAAUAUUGGACAAUGGGCGCAAGCCUGAUCCAGCCAUACCGCGUGGGUGAAGAAGGCCUUCGGGUUGUAAAGCCCUUUUGUUGGGAAAGAAAAGCAGCAGGUUAAUACCCCGCUGUUCUGACGGUACCCAAAGAAUAAGCACCGGCUAACUUCGUG
rnacentral:rRNA from 1 species